ACAGCACCAUGGGCCAUAGGUUGCACCAACGUCGGCAAAAAUGGCUGCCAAUCUCUUAUUCUCGGUAUUAUGCGCACACACCCUUUUGCGCUACCUCUAUUUUCCUUCUCUCUUACUCUCUUACUCUCUUGCCUUUAGUUUUUCUCCCUCUUAUACGCGUGACUACACCUCUCUUUUUUUCUUCUUCGUUCUUUCAUUCGCCUUUUCUUUCUUUCUCUUUCUCUCUCUGUCUCUCAGUCUCUUUCUCUCUCUUUCUCUCUAUGGUUGCUCUGAGUAAAGUUCCCCUUACCUCUCAGCACCAUUACUUCUUAUACGUCAUACCAUUGCGCUUGCCUUACGCUCACGCGCAGACGUAGAGAGCACACCUUGAAAAGAAUAAUCCAGAGGGCAUAGCGAACGCCGAAGGACCAUCUUUUCUCGAGGACACUUUUUCUCUCUCGUAGGAACUGGUUUUACAACUACUGGUUCCUCCUAACGACGUCAUAACUUAUGAAUCGUAUUUUUAUUCUUCUAGAGAGGAACUCUGACAAUUUUUAAGAUAGCCAUUGGUGGGCAUCUAAUUUUGGAAAAAAAAAUUUUACAUAUAUACUCGUAGAAAAUGUUUCGUAUCAAUGCACGGUAUGCAGAUAAAUAUACAUAGAAUAUUAGUAAUGGAUAUAAACUGACAAAAUAAAGAUAAAAAUGCUUAUCACCAUUGAUAAGAAAUUAUAUA